UACUUGCACUGUAGCUCCUAAUGCCUUAACUCACUAAUGGGGGAGAGGGGGGUGAAUCCUCUCCAAACACCCGAGGGCUCAUUUAUAGACUAAGGGCCAGAGAGCAGAGGCUUGUCUAGGGGCACACAGCAAGUCGACUGGCUCAGAGAGGUCAGUCCAACCUGGGACCCUGCUCCCUGGGAGGUCUCUAGCCAGUCCUUAGUGUCAUAAUUAUAAUGAUGCAAAUGAUCAUGUUGAUAAGCCAUCUGGAAGCACCCACCACAUACUACUGGGCUAAGGCUUUGCAUGUGUCGUCGUUUCAUCCUUAUAACCAACCCUAUGAGGGAGAUACUCCUUUUGUUUCCAUUUUAUAGGUGAAGGAAACUGAGGCACGGACUUGCCAAUGUCAGCUGACUAAUAAGUCGUGCGGUUGGGACAGGAACACAGGUCCUUCCCAGAUGCUGCAGUCUGGCCAGGCAGAAACUAGCUCAUAACCUUCAGGACCGUUUGGGACCGUGUCUAAGCCCAGGCUGGAGCCUGGGGAUGGAACAAGGAGACCCUGCCUCCCAGGCCCAGCUUCUCCUUGCCACCUGACCUUGAUGGAGUCACACGUCAGCUGCCUCGCUCCUGGCUUAUUUUCCCCAUCUGGAGCACGAGGGAUUGAAGUCUGCUGCAUCUUAUGCUGCCUGAUUCCUAUCCCUGGAGAAGACCUUGCCCUUACGCAGAAGGCAUUUCCAAGUGUCUGGUUGACUUACCUCUCCUCUUCCUUUUCUCUGUCCACCCCAAGUCUGCCCAUCCUCGCUGGGCCCGUUCAGCCUCCCCACCCACCCACAGGGCAGUGUAGGCAGGAAGGGCCACUGGAUUCUGGGCUGAGGAGCUGAGCUGCUGCUGCCUCUCCCCUCCCUAAAUUUGCCAUCUGUUCUACCACUUCAUCCGCCUGCCCAGCAGGAACAGGAGCUCACUACCCCCACCUGGGGGCAUUCCUUCUCAUAGGGCCGCUCUGGCUGAUCCGGAACCUCAAGCACACAGUGCCUGGGCCCUGGGUUCUGGUCCCCAAAGCCGCCUUCCUGCGGUGUUGAAGAAGCUGCUCCACCUUAGAGCUGUUCUGGAGGCUGGGUAGCCUUUGUUUCUUUGUUAGCAAAGGCUUUGCCAGCCAUGAUGUAACGGGGGGUGCUUAGUGUGGGAACGCAGGGAACCAUGCCAGUCCCUUGCCAAGGACGUGGUUCUCCAGCCGUUGUCCUUGGAGCUACAGGUGGCAGCUUCCUAGGCAAGGAGGAGAUGGAGAAGCACUGUGAGAUGGCUCCUCGAGCCCCCCCUCCACACACACACCCCGUUGCCAAGACCCAGAUGUGGGCCCAUCCUGGCCCCCAGCCAGAGGGAGUCACCCAAGGGUUUUCAGUCCAACCCUCCGUGAAAAUCAUGUUCUGCCAAUUACCAGCCUCCCCUGGAGAGUUGAGGGCUGUUUCACGCUUUGUGACCUCAGUCUGCCCCGGGUGUGUGUUUGGAUCCCCACAGAGCAGGUCCGUGAGGCCCCCUCCACAUCACCUGUCCCCCCACAUCCACCUGCAGCCUCUUAGGGCUUGCUCCCUUCUGGUCCUGGAUUGAGCUCUGAAGUACGCCAUGUCAUUUCCACACUCAGCUGUGUCUCCUUCUUACUCUCCUCCAUCAGCAUUUCUCACUUGUACCUGGUGAGGCUGCUCCCUGUGGAGCCAAGGAUGGGAGGGCCAGUCAGGAUUGAUCAUGAGAGACCUCAGUGCCCAGCUGAGGUGCAUGGCUUUAUCCUGAGGGACCCAGGGAGCCAUGCAUGGGUUUUGAGGAGUCUCAUGAGCAGCUAGAUGUCUUAGCAAGGUGGCAAUCAGUUCAGGGUGGAGGUGGAGGCGGGGUUGAACUGGGAUGGGGGCUGGAGAAUGCCCAGUUGAGGAGAAGGAAGCUGGGGCUCCGGGAAUGAAGGGAGCGGGUAGAUGUGAGAACUGCAGAGGGAGAAUUGACAGGCCUUCGUGACAGAUUUGAUACAAGAAGUGGAAAGGGAAGAGGCAAAGCGACUUUGAAGUUUCCAGACUGGGGAUUAGAAGUUUGCUGAUGUCUUUGAUAGAGACAAAGCAGUGUUGGAUGUUGAAUAUUUCAGCGCGAGGGGCCUGUUGGAUGUCCCCAGAAGAGAUGUCCAGGAGGCAGCACAUCUGGCGCUCCAGAGAGAGGGCUGGGCCAGAGGGCACUCACAGUUGGUAUGUUGGAAAGCCCCGUGCCCCGUGGGGUAGGGGGGAGAAUGAGGAGCGACAGGCCUGGUGCUCCUGUAGGGAGCGCCCAUCCAUACGGAGGGGGUGAAGAUAGGAUGAGGCAGUGAGCAAGACAGAGUAAGUGCCGUCUGGAAGGUGGGAGGGGGACAGCCUCGUAGGAGGGAGGGGGAGGGCGCUGAGAAGGCGCCUUUGGUCAAGAGGAGGUAGCUGGAGCCUGUGAAUCCUGGGCGGGGGCUGAUCCUCCAGUCGCUUUGGGCAGCCACCCGCCUUCCAGAAGCAUCCUGCUUCCUCCCACCUCCCUCCACUUCCCCAACUAGCAGGAAAAAAAGGAAAAAAACAAAAACCCGAGUGCGGAAUCUUGGGGGGAAGGCGCGGGAGGGUGAGUGGGUGAGAGGUAAUCAACUAAAGACUUUGUAUGCAUAUGUGUAUAACCCAU